AUUGAACGCUGGCGGCAGGCCUAACACAUGCAAGUCGAACGAGUGGCGGACGGGUGAGUAAUGUCUGGGAAACUGCCUGAUGGAGGGGGAUAACUACUGGAAACGGUAGCUAAUACCGCAUACCAUCGGCUUUGCCCAGAUGGGCUUAGCUAGUAGGUGGGGUAAAGGCUCACCGAGGCGACGAUCCCUAGCUGGUCUGAGAGGAUGACAAGCCAAACUGGAACUGAGACACGGUCCAGACUCCUACGGGAGGCAGCAGUGGGGAAUAUUGCACAAUGGGCGAAAGCCUGAUGCAGCAAUGCCGCGUGUAUGAAGAAGGCCUUCGGGUUGUAAAGUACUUUCAGCGGGGAGGCGUUACCCGAAGAGGAAGCACCGGCUAACUCCGUGCCAGCAGCCGCGGUAAUAC
rnacentral:rRNA from 1 species